GUGGGGAAUAUUGCACAAUGGAGGAAACUCUGAUGCAGCGACGCCGCGUGAGCGAAGAAGUAUUUCGGUAUGUAAAGCUCUAUCAGCAGGGAAGAUAAUGACGGUACCUGACUAAGAAGCUCCGGCUAAAUACGUGCCAGCAGCCGCGGUAAUACGUAUGGAGCAAGCGUUAUCCGGAUUUACUGGGUGUAAAGGGAGCGCAGGCGGCAGGGCAAGUCUGAUGUGAAAGCCCGGGGCUCAACCCCGGCACUGCAUUGGAAACUGUCCGGCUAGAGUGUCGGAGGGGUAAGUGGAAUUCCUAGUGUAGCGGUGAAAUGCGUAGAUAUUAGGAGGAACACCAGUGGCGAAGGCGGCUUACUGGACGACAACUGACGCUGAGGCUCGAAAGCGUGGGGAGCAAACAGGAUUAGAUACCCCAGUAGUCC
rnacentral:rRNA from 1 species